rnacentral:tRNA from 1 species
GGUGGCUCAGUGGUAGAGUGCUUGCUUUGCAUUCAUGAGGCCCUGGGUUCGAUUCCUAAGCACCA